GUAUUUUGCGAGGGCAUAGAUUAGUUCUAUGUUCUGAUGAUGCUGCGCGUGGUGCAUGGCCGUUCUUAACACGUGGGGUGACCUGUCUGGUUAAAUCCGAUAACGCGUGAGACCCUGGAUGAUGACGAUGCUCGAUGAGAGUAGGGAAGCUCGGGUCGAUAACAGGUCUGUGAUGCCCGUAGAUGUCCCGGGCGCCACGCGCACUACAGUGGGAGAGGUUACGUGAAACGGAGCUCUCUUGCGGUUGGGAUUGACGUUUGUAAAUAUGUCAUGAACGCGGAAUUCCUAGUAGCGUGCCGUCACUAACGGCAGGCGAAUGAGUCCCUGUUCUUUGUACACACCGCCCGUCGUUAUCUAAGAUGGAUGUGCGGAUGAAGUUGGCUAGGCCAAAAGAAUCCGUGCCACUAGAUUGGAUACAAGUCGUAACAAGGUUGCAGUAGGUGAACCUGCCGCAGGAUCAAUAAGCAGAGCGUUUUGGGGUUUAAUAUGUAUGUAUACAUUACGUUCGAAGGAUCGAUUGGCUUUGGUGACGAUGAAGAACGUUGCAGAUUGCGAUAUUGAGUGAGAAUAGCGUUAUUCAGCUCGUGUUCGAAUUAUAGAUGAUAUCUAUGAUAACUCCUUGGACUUAAGCAUAUCAUUAGAGGAAGGAGAAGAAAAUAACGAUGAUUUCGA
rnacentral:sRNA from 1 species